GCGCCCGUAGCUCAGCUGGAUAGAGCGCUGCCCUCCGAAGGCAGAGGUCAGAAGUUCGAAUCUUCUCGGGCGCGCCA
rnacentral:tRNA from 1 species